rnacentral:misc_RNA from 1 species
UAAUCUCACCCCCCGAAAUUCGUUUUUUGGGGGGUGGACUUGGACGUUGUCGGUCAUCGACUCGUCUGGAAUGUCUCAGUGUACCCCGCUCGUCGGCGUAAACAGUGUGAUAAGUAUCUUCACUGGUAAGCCUCUCCGGAGGCGCGCUUUCAGGUGGGCUCCUGCGCUUACAACCGUCUUCGGACAAACCUCUGACA